rnacentral:lncRNA from 1 species
AUAACCUCGCCGACCUUGCAAGCUCUUGUCUUUUUGUUGUUUUUUUCCCCCCACAGAUGUACUGUCCAUAUUGUGGAUCUGCCUUGACAGCUUCCCCUGGGUUUUGUUGUGUGUGUGGCAAAAACAUCAGAUUUCUAAAAGAUGUGGCAAACAAAGUCCCUGAGGAGAUGCCUACGACCAGUGCACAUGCUAAUGCACAGUCUAGUACUGCAGGAAGCUCAGGUGUAGAGUCCUUUAUGAAAUUUAGGGCAAUAAAAGAGAGGGAGAGAAAGACAUUCUUUUCAAAGACACGUCAGAAGGAACAGAAACAGAAAAUAGUAAAGGUAUGCUAUUUUUAACAUUGUUUCUAUUAUAAUUAAAUAUAUUGCUCAAAUCUAGUGACUUUUUCCAUUUCCUUUUCUUUCUGCAGAUUUAUGUUGGAGUUAUGAGGAUGACAGGUGAUUCCCUUAAACCUGUGAGAGGGAAGUCACUUCCCCUUGAUAUUCGCCCUCAAUGGUCAUCUGAUCAACUGUUGGCUGCUGCUGUAAAGAAGCUGAAAGAUUUUAACCAGGAUAUGGAAGAUGGUGCACAUGUUUUGUUGUACCCUGAUGCUCAGGAAGUUAGAAACAUCCCAGGAACAGACACCCCUUUCACAGUGCAGAAAUACAAGGAGGCAAUUGGAAAGGCCUACCAAAGAAUAACAAUGUACAUUUGCAAUGUUGAAGACUUUGCAAACAGCUGUUACAGUGGACAGCCUUCAAGUGAAGAUGACAGUGUGGUCCAUGUUAAUUUGCCGUCUGGAGACAGUCCACUUUCUGACACCGUGGUCAGUUUGCAUCUAUCAUGGCAUUUAUCUUUAAGUCAAGUGAAUUGAUAAUAUUUUCA